rnacentral:rRNA from 1 species
AACGAACGCUGGCGGCAUGCCUAACACAUGCAAGUCGAACGAGACCUUCGGGUCUAGUGGCGCACGGGUGCGUAACGCGUGGGAACCUGCCCUUAGGUUCGGAAUAACUCCCCGAAAGGGGUGCUAAUACCGGAUAAUGUCUUCGGACCAAAGAUUUAUCGCCUUUGGAUGGGCCCGCGUUGGAUUAGCUAGUUGGUAGGGUAAAAGCCUACCAAGGCGACGAUCCAUAGCUGGUCUGAGAGGAUGAUCAGCCACACUGGGACUGAGACACGGCCCAGACCCUUACGGAGGCAGCAGUGGGGAAUAUUGGACAAUGGGCGAAAGCCUGAUCCAGCAAUGCCGCGUGAGUGAUGAAGGCCUUAGGGUUGUAAAGCUCUUUUACCCGGGAUGAUAAUGACAGUACCGGGAGAAUAAGCUCCGGCUAACUCCGUG